rnacentral:rRNA from 1 species
UACAGAGGUCUCAAGCGUUGUUCGGAAUUACUGGGCGUAAAGGGUGCGUAGGCGGCGCGGUAAGUCGGGUGUGAAAUCUCGGAGCUUAACUCCGAAACUGCAUUCGAUACUGCCGUGCUUGAGGACUGGAGAGGAGACUGGAAUUUACGGUGUAGCGGUGAAAUGCGUAGAUAUCGUAAGGAAGACCAGUGGCGAAGGCGGGUCUCUGGACAGUUCCUGACGCUGAGGCACGAAGGUCAGGGGAGCAAACGGG